rnacentral:rRNA from 1 species
ACUCAAAGGAAUUGACGGGGACCCGCACAAGCAGCGGAGCGUGUGGUUUAAUUCGAUGCGACGCGAAGAACCUUACCUGGGUUUGACAUGGCUCUGGUACUGACCUGAAAGGGGAGGGACCCGCAAGGGAGGAGUCACAGGUGCUGCAUGGCUGUCGUCAGCUCGUGUCGUGAGAUGUUGGGUUAAGUCCCGCAACGAGCGCAACCCUCGGCGUAUGUUUUAAAUGUCAUACGCAACUGCCCGCCAGAAGCGGGAGGAAGGUGGGGAUGACGUCAAGUCAGCAUGGCCUUUAUAUCCAGGGCGACACACACGCUACAAUGGCGCGUACAAUGGGCGGCGAGAGGGCGACCUUGAGCAAAUCUCACAAAGCGCGUCACAGUUCGGAUUGGAGUCUGCAACUCGACUCCAUGAAGGCGGAGUUGCUAGUAACCGCGCGUCAGCCAUAGUGCGGUGAAUGCGUUCCCGGGUCUUGUACACACCGCCCGU